UAGGGAAUCUUCCGCAAUGGGCGAAAGCCUGACGGAGCAACGCCGCGUGAGUGAUGAAGGUCUUCGGAUCGUAAAACUCUGUUAUUAGGGAAGAACAAAUGUGUAAGUAACUAUGCACGUCUUGACGGUACCUAAUCAGAAAGCCACGGCUAACUACGUGCCAGCAGCCGCGGUAAUACGUAGGUGGCAAGCGUUAUCCGGAAUUAUUGGGCGUAAAGCGCGCGUAGGCGGUUUUUUAAGUCUGAUGUGAAAGCCCACGGCUCAACCGGGGGGGGUCAUUGGAAACUGGAAAACUUGAGUGCAGAAGAGGAAAGUGGAAUUCCAUGUGUAGCGGUGAAAUGCGCAGAGAUAUGGAGGAACACCAGUGGCGAAGGCGACUUUCUGGUCUGUAACUGACGCUGAUGUGCGAAAGCGUGGGGAUCAAACAGG
rnacentral:rRNA from 1 species